GUGUGGCUCAGUGGUAGAGCACUUGCCUGCCAUGCAGAGGCCCUGGGUUCAAUCUCCAGCAC
rnacentral:tRNA from 1 species